UUGCAGCCAGUCCCUAUGAUUUAAAUCUGUGGGGGUCAGAAAAGGCCCUAUCAAUUAGCUACACAUGCCAGAGUACCCCAGUCUGAAUCCUUGACCAGAUGGUUUGCUGUUUUGCACACUUCUUUCCUGCUUGUGAAGACAAUAAACAGAACCCUGAAGAAAGGGACAGAAACCUAGCCUGGGCAUGGCUGAUUGUCUAUUCCCAGCUGGUGACCAGGAGGAGAUAGUGUGUUCUCCAGGGUGAAUCACUGCCACCUGCUCACUUCAGGGCACCCCGGUAACCUCCUGAAGUGACACAAAUAUGACACCUGAAUACAUGGAGGUUCUCUGGAAGCAAAAGGCUGAUAUGCAGCUCUGUCUCAUUCAUGAAGCCCAGAUGGUACAGUAUCUUCUCUUACCAAGAGGCUGGCAGAGAUUGGGAGAUGGACGAUAAGCAAGUUGGCUGAAGUUUAAUCUGGUGACAAAACUUCACUGAUCAACAAAAGGGUGCUGGCUGGACUGAUAACAAAGUGGCUGCUGCCUUGUGCGAGAGAUGCAUGUUCAGGAGGGACCUCAGGAGUCUUGCUACCAAGGCCAGUAAAGAGGAGAACAUGUGCACUCCACAGGGUUGUUAAAACAGCUGCAGCAGCAGUAACAGAAGUGUUUCCUGUGUCACUGCUGGCCAGCAAGGGUGGGGCAGGAAUUGAACUUGCCUUCAAGAGGACUUAGCCAGGACUGUGGGGAGAGCAGAGCCGCCAGACAGACAGAAGAAGAGCAAAUGGUCUCCCAAGGUCCCAAGAAGAUCUUUGGAGAAGGAGGAUGUUAUAUGAGUCACCAAGACUUUGAGUAUGUCUACACUGCAAGUGAAGGUGUGAUUAUAACACAGGAAAAUUGUUUGCCUGUGUAAAUACCACCUUCCUAGAGUGAUGUGAGGUCUCUUCCCCAUGGAUGUAGGUACGUUGUGAGGCAUAUUUGCUGACAAUACUGAUGUUGCUGAUAAGAAGGAAGUGAGGAAGACAAAGUUGUGUUGGCUUGUGCUUCAAAGACACCAAGUAGGAAAUCCCAUGUUCGCCAAGUGGAAAAGGACAAACUAGAAGAGAAAUAAAUACUAUGUUUAAGUUGAAUUACUUCAGUAUCCGUCUGUUCCUGUAGCUUAGCCCUACCAAAUUCUUCCCUUCAGCAAAACCGUAUUACCAUCUUGACUGCAUAAAGACUUGAAAUUCCUC